CUGACUUAGAAAGUACAUAAAAUAUUGUUGUUGAUCAGUUGAUGUAUUUGGUUAUGUGAUAAUUUGUGAGGCGAUAUUCUCGACCAAUCAUAUCGCAGAAGUAUGACAACAAUGCGACAAAGAAAGUUUUCGUUUAUACGAUCCUCACUGGAUAUCAGGGAUGCAAAAAUUGACGGAUUCUUAAUUACAUCAUCAGAAAUUGGCUCAAACACAGAACUGAUUUGCCUAACCACCUUCCUCUUUAAACGGCGUACCUGAACUUUGAGAUGACUCAGAGAUCGUAUGGCCCAAGAAAACAAUAUGUCACGCAUGUCUAUGGAACAUUAAAGAGAAUAAUGUUUUCUUGAAAAAGCAAGAAGCCAACCAUUUUUUUCAUGUUUGUUACAUUUUCAAGUUUUCCUUUGCUGGCUAACUUUCAUUUGUUGUAUUUGUUUGAAUCAAGAUAGUUCAAAAAUGCGUUAA